rnacentral:rRNA from 1 species
UGAACGCUGGCGGCGUGCCUAAUACAUGCAAGUCGAGCGAACAGACGAGGAGCUUGCUCCUCUGACGUUAGCGGCGGACGGGUGAGUAACACGUGGAUAACCUACCUAUAAGACUGGGAUAACUUCGGGAAGCCGGAGCUAAUACCGGAUAAUAUAUUGAACCGCAUGGUUCAAUAGUGAAAGACGGUUUUGCUGUCACUUAUAGAUGGAUCCGCGCCGCAUUAGCUAGUUGGUAAGGUAACGGCUUACCAAGGCAACGAUGCGUAGCCGACCUGAGAGGGUGAUCGGCCACACUGGAACUGAGACACGGUCCAGACUCCUACGGGAGGCAGCAGUAGGGAAUCUUCCGCAAUGGGCGAAAGCUUGACGGAGCAACGCCGCGUGAGUGAUGAAGGUCUUCGGAUCGUAAAACUCUGUUAUUAGGGAAGAACAAAUGUGUAAGUAACUAUGCACGUCUUGACGGUACCUAAUCAGAAAGCCACGGCUAACUACGUG